rnacentral:rRNA from 1 species
GCGGAGGAAAAGAAAAUAACAAUGAUUCCCCCAGUAAUGGCGAAUGAACAGGGAAAAGCUCAAAGUUGGAACCUCCUGGCCUUAGGUUAGGCGGAUUGUAAACUAAAGUUUUCGAGUAGUUUGGCUAGCCUGGUAAAUAAGUUCUCUGGAAAGGGACGACAAAGAGGGUGAAAUCCCCGUUUUUGGCCAGAGUUUUAGUCUUGCGUUUGCUUGGGAAUGAAGAGUCAGGUUGUUUGGUAUUGCAGCCUAAAGUGGGAGGUAAAUCUCUCCUAAAGCUAAAUAUUGACGAAAGACCGAUAGCGAACAAGUACCGUGAGGGAAAGAUGAAAAGCACCUUGAAAAGGGGGUCAAAAAGUACGUGAAAUUGCUGAAAGGGAACCGUAUGAAAUCAGUUUGGCCAGCUAGUAAUCAACCUAGACUUUGGUUUGGGUGCACUUGCUAGUAGGUACAGCUUACGACAAUUUUGCUCGGGGGAAAAAAUCAGGGGAAAUGUAGCUUCGACUUCGGUUGAAGUGUUAUAGUCCUUUGAAAAAUACUCUGGGUGGGAUUGAGGAAUGCAGCAAGCCUUUGGGAUGAACUGUGGGUGCUUGUUGGCUUUGAAGGGGAAAUUUCUAUUCAGGUAGUGUUCUUUUCAGGGCCGAUAACUCGCCUACUUUUUCUUUUUCUUGCUUAGGUCGUAGCAUAAUGAUUUAUAUGAC